rnacentral:rRNA from 1 species
GGAGGGUGCAAGCGUUAUCCGGAUUCACUGGGUUUAAAGGGAGCGUAGGUGGGUUGGUAAGUCAGUGGUGAAAUCUCCGGGCUUAACUCGGAAACUGCCGUUGAUACUAUCAAUCUUGAAUAUUGUGGAGGUAAGCGGAAUAUGUCAUGUAGCGGUGAAAUGCUUAGAUAUGACAUAGAACACCGAUAGCGAAGGCAGCUUGCUACACAAUUAUUGACACUGAGGCUCGAAAGCGUGGGGAUCAAACAGGAUUAGAUACCCUGGUAGUCCACGCCCUAAACGAUGGAUACUCGACAUACGCGAUACACAGUGUGUGUCUGAGCGAAAGCAUUAAGUAUCCCACCUGGGAAGUACGACCGCAAGGUUGAA